CGACCGACCCGUGGGACCCUGGCCCCGCCGCGCCGUCUCUGACGAGGCCCCGACUCCGCCAACCCUGUCAACGGCGCGCAGACCAAACUCGGGGCUCAGUCUCCCCGGGGCCUGGCCUUGCUCCGCGGGUUCCGCUCGCUCCCCAUUACUGCUCACCCUGCGCCGUCUCCAGUCGCGGUGCCUAAACUUCCCAAAGUUUCCUCGGGCCAUCCCACCCCCUCGGUCCGGCCCUGGCCGGAGCUGCCCUCGGCGCAGGUCCUCCCCGCCGCGUCCCUGCCUCCUCCCCCGGGUCCAAACCUCGCGGGCGGCGGCAGAGCCCGAGCGCCGGCGGUUCGGAGCGCACCUCCCCGUCGGUCCUCCAUGUUCCCGCCCCUCCUCCCUCCUCCCUUGCGGCUGAGACCUGCGGGCUUGUAGUUUAGGUUUGUUCCUUUUUUUUUUUUUUUUUUUAAGAUUUUUUUUUCUUUUAAAAAGUUUCCACCCGCUGCCUCCCGGGGCCCGGCUCCUCCGCCUCCUUUUGGGUCACGGUCGAACUGGUUCGCACGGGAGCGCGCCCAGCCUAGCACCCUGGUAGCCCCCCGACCCGGGCCUGCGCGGCGGGGUGCAGAGCGCAAGCGUCCGCUCCCUCGGGCGCCGCCAAGGCUCCGGGUGCUCUGCCGGGCGGCCGCGAGGGAGCCCUGUGAUUGGCUGCUCCGCGGCCGUUAUGUUUUCAUUUGGUCUAGGAUUAGCGAGGUUCGGGGUCCAAAUUCGCCAUCUCAGGACAUCACCAUUGAAACCCAUAGAGCAGAGCAGCGCAAUGCUCAGGCAAAACUGGACCUCGGGGCGCGCAGGAGACCCCGAGCCCUAGCAGAAACGAACCCCGCUGGCGCGGUGCGGCCGCCCGGGCCUGGGCGCCGAGGCCGUUGUGACCCCGCUUGGGACUUGACUCCUCGGGCUGCGAGCCCCCGCGUAGCCUCGCUUCUUCCACAUGGCAGACGGGCUCCCAGGUAGCCCCAACUGACUCUGCUGUGAAAGAAGUUUGACGUGCUCCUCUUUCCUUCUUCUGAUAAGCACCUUCCUGUGAAGUUUCCAGAUCCUCAGACCAUGCUCCGG
rnacentral:lncRNA from 1 species